UCCAAGUCCUACCACACAAAGGAAAGUCUC
rnacentral:piRNA from 1 species